rnacentral:tRNA from 1 species
UGGUUUAUAGUAUAGUGAGUACACAUUGUUUCGGCCAAUGAGGCGAAUUUUAUUCUUUACCAG